rnacentral:tRNA from 1 species
GGCGAGAUUCCCGAGUGGCCAAAGGGGACGGACUGUAAAUCCGUUGGCUCAGCCUUCGCAGGUUCGAAUCCUGCUCUCGCCACCA